rfam:Triticum aestivum genome assembly, contig: Triticum_aestivum_CS42_TGACv1_scaffold_404661_5BL
UUUCUACUCCCUCCGUCUGAAAAUACUUGUCAUCAAAAUGGAUAAAAAUAGAUGUAUCUAAAACUAAAAUACGUCUAGAUACAUUUCCUUUUAUCCAUUUUGAUGACAAGUAUUUCCGGACGGAGGGAGUAUUUG